rnacentral:misc_RNA from 1 species
ACCUAAACCCUAUUGAAGCGGCAGCUCCCGAUUUUUCAUCGGGACUACAGCGGAAAGAGGGACUAAUU